GAACGCGAAGAACCUUACCUGGGUUUGACAUGCACAGGACGCUGGUAGAGAUAUCAGUUCCCUUGUGGCCUGUGUGCAGGUGGUGCAUGGCUGUCGUCAGCUCGUGUCGUGAGAUGUUGGGUUAAGUCCCGUAACGAGCGCAACCCUUGUCCUAUGUUGCCAGCGGGUUAUGCCGGGGACUCGUAGGAGACUGCCGGGGUCAACUCGGAGGAAGGUGGGGAUGACGUCAAGUCAUCAUGCCCCUUAUGUCCAGGGCUUCACACAUGCUACAAUGGCCGGUACAAAGGGCUGCGAUGCCGUGAGGUGGAGCGAAUCCUUGUAAAGCCGGUCUCAGUUCGGAUCGGGGUCUGCAACUCGACCCCGUGAAGUCGGAGUCGCUAGUAAUCGCAGAUCAGCAACGCUGCGGUGAAUACGUUCCCGGGUCUUGUACACACC
rnacentral:rRNA from 1 species